ACCCAACUGCAACCGCUCAGGUAAAGUUUAAGAAUUGGCAGCAAUCACUUUACAUGGCGAGUAUCGGUGUAGGA
rfam:Facklamia ignava CCTG 37419 genomic scaffold supercont1.1, whole genome shotgun sequence.